UUGAGCGACUGCGACUCGACGCGGACGAGAUACCGAUUUCGUACACUUCUCUUCCUGUGAUGUCGUUCCGUAUAUGCCUGGGGUUUCUGGAACCAAUGAAAGUGACAACAGUGGUGAUAGCAAGGAUGCCAAAUCCGCUUCAUCAGUUUCAGUGACAGAGGGCAAUGUGAAGGUACGUGAAUACGAUCCAAAAAAGGAUUUAAGGGCUCUUGGACAGUGGAUUUGCUCUAACCAAGAUCCACCCAAGUAUUUUGAAAAUGUUGAUUACAUACAGUCAAUUGGCGUGUUUAACCGGCUGUUUAAGCCUACUUUCAAUGAGGUUGAAGGUGAAUGCAUGGAAGUAUAUGAGAGAAUGAAAGUGGAAACUAAGGAAGUAUUAAGAAACUUUGAUGGACAGAUUAGCCUCUGUGUGGACCUACUCACGGAC
rnacentral:sRNA from 1 species